rnacentral:lncRNA from 1 species
CCUAAUCCUGUAUGUGUUUUCUUAUGUUUGUCACCAUCCUAAACCCGCAUGUGACACCUAGAUUACAUCUGCAUAAAAGAUUUUAGCAUACCAAAACAUAAGAUCUUUUCGCAUACCCAUGCAUUUUCUAACAUGCAUAUACAUUUGCAUACCAUGAAGCUAAUACUCACAUUUCUCACCCCUUUCCAACCGGAGUUGUGCUAGUUGAU